rnacentral:rRNA from 1 species
UCACCCUGUGACAUACCUAAACGUUGCUUCGGCGGGAACAGACGGCCCCGUGAAACGGGCCGCCCCCGCCAGAGGACCCCUAACUCUGUUUCUAUAAUGUUUCUUCUGAGUAAAACAAGCAAAUAAAUUAAAACUUUCAACAACGGAUCUCUUGGCUCUGGCAUCGAUGAAGAACGCAGCGAAAUGCGAUAAGUAAUGUGAAUUGCAGAAUUCAGUGAAUCAUCGAAUCUUUGAACGCACAUUGCGCCCGCCAGUAUUCUGGCGGGCAUGCCUGUUCGAGCGUCAUUACAACCCUCAGGCCCCCGGGCCUGGGUUGGGGAUCGGCGGAGCCCCCCGUGGGCACACGCCGUCCCCCAAAUACAGUGGCGGUCCCGCCGCAGCUUCCAUCGCGUAGUAGCUAACACCUCGCGACUGGAGAGCGGCGCGGCCACGCCGUAAAACACCCAACUCUUCUGAAGUUGACCUCGAAUCAGGUAGGAAUACCCGCUGAACUUAAGCAUAUCAAAA